rnacentral:rRNA from 1 species
AGGGCAAUCGGCAGCUAACACAUGCAGUCGAGGGGCAUCACGGGAAAGCUUGCUUUUCUGGUGGCGACCGGCGCACGGGUGCGGAACGCGUAUGGAACCUGCCCCUGUCAGGGGAAUAGCCCAGGGAAACUUGGAUUAAUGCCCCAUGGUAUCCGGGGAUCGCAUGAUUUCCGGAUUAAAGAUUUAUCGGACAGGGAUGGCCAUGCGUACCAUUAGCUGGUUGGUAAGGUAACGGCUUACCAAGGCAACGAUGGUUAGGGGCCCUGAGAGGGGGAUCCCCCACACUGGUACUGAGACACGGACCAGACUCCUACGGGAGGCAGCAGUGAGGAAUAUUGGACAAUGGGCGGGAGCCUGAUCCAGCCAUGCCGCGUGCAGGAUGACUGCCCUAUGGGUUGUAAACUGCUUUUAUACGGGAAGAAACCUCCCCUCGUGAGGGGAUUUGACGGUACCGUAAGAAUAAGGACCGGCUAACUCCGUGCCAGCAGCCGCGGUAAU